GGAAAAAAUCCAAAUAUUUUUAUUUGAGAUUUCUAAUAGAAAUAUCUAUAGAAAGAUUUUCUUUAAUCUACAAUAUAAAGCAACGAAGUAUCAAAUUUUUAUAAGUUUUUUCGCGAAGGAAUCUACUUCUAAUUCUAGCGAAAGGAAAUCAUGAAAGGAGUAAACGCGCGCGUCGCGACGCCUGCGUCACGACAUCCGACGUAUAUCCAUGGCCAAGGUCCUCCCCGGUCACGGGCAAUCCGUUAUACGUAGCCGGGAGCCAACACUUGCUCGAGGUCGUCCAUGACUAUCUUAUUCGCCUCAAGGUGAUUCAUCGAGGCAGCUGGAUUUUGGAGCACCUUCUACGUCGCGUUAUGAGCGACUUUUGUUGACGUACGUGCCAUAACCGGCCGUGCAUUUAUGCUCCAUCAAGACGUCACGUCCUCGUGACCCGUGCUCAGUUGUGUGCACGUCGAUAUAUAUAUAUAUAUGUUUAUGUAUACACGCUGUAUCGAGAAAUACGUCAAGGGCACGACCGCAGAGUCGAAGAUUCACGAUGGAAAAUCACGUAAUGGAAAAAAAAGGAAAAAUCAAAUCUCCGCUUUGCUUCUAAAUUUCGUACAACCUUAGCGUUCCAGUUCGACUUGAUCCUCGAUUUAAAUGGUCUUAGCGAAUUAAUCUUCAAUUUGUUGCUACGAAAUAAUAGCUACGUGACUGUUUAAGCUUAUCAUCUAUUACUUAGAAUUUAAAUCCAACGAGUUAUACAAUAUUAUCAAUUUCUAUUAUUUAUAAACAAGCCACGAAUCCAACAAUUUCCAGAUAUACGUUAAAAUCGGAAUAUCAAGGAUAAUCAGGAAAUUCCGUUUUCGAUCGUUACGAAUGGAGGCAUGGACAACCUUCGCCAAGUAACAAAGGAAAGAUAACGAAUAAUAGCGGUAAUACACGGUGGAUCGUAAGGACGUUCUCAAUCGUUCAUUAAGAGAGACUCUUGGUUGGUUUUGACCGAGGAAAAAAAAGAAGAAGAACAGAAUCUGCAGCAGCAUUGUUGUGGUCCAUUGUAACGUGGUGUAAGUCAGGUGGGACUAUGUAUAUGUGUAUAUGUCCUUGACAUCCGCGGCCUUGUCAAGAAUUUUUCCGCAUUCGAUUGUUGUUCCAAGCACGCUCCGCGAACUGCAAAUCGCUCGGGAAGAGGGGAAGGGGAGGGAGGACGAGUUACACGCGGAACGAGACGGAGAGAUGGAAGCCGGAAGACUGGAAGAGGAUGAGGAGAUCGGUUGUUGAAUGGCGGACGCGACUUCGACCUUCGCCGGUGUGCUACACGGUAGAAAAUAAAGCAGAGAUAGAACGCAGUAGAAAAGGCCUCGUGAAUACACGGAUGGACGAGUAUCGGCAGUAACGGCCAUUAAUAUCGGUCCGCCUCGUUGAUAUAAUUUGAUCGGCGGCCACCGUUUAUCCCGGAAACGGCUUUCACUUUCUCCCCCACUAGAGGUGGUAACUUUCACUAACGAGGCCUCCGCGAGAACUGGCUCGUGCGUGUACGCGAUCGGUGAGGAGAGGAAGAGAGAGAGAGAGAGAGAGAGGAAAGGAAAGAGAAGAGGAAGAGAGAAUCGGGUUUCUGGGUCGGUAAAGGCGAACAAAGGCGAUCCUCCUUGUUGUCCCUUCGUGAAUUUUUGUCGCUCGAAGCAAGGAAGGAAGGAAGGAAGGAAGGAAGGAUGGUUAUUUGGACGAUCGAAAUUUCCCUUCCUCGGAUGGGAUGGAUGACAUUGAGAACGAUUAGUGUACCACGUCGUGAAGAAUGUAUUAUACCUGGAAUGUUUGAAGCAAUCGCUAAAUGUGAAAUUUCAUUGGGAUCAAAACCAAAGUUGCACUAUUUUCAAUUCGAGGAGUUCAAUAGGAGUUCAGGAAAAGGAUAAAAGAAGAAGAAGAAGAAGAAGAUAUUGUAAAAGAUGGAAAAAAAUUAACAAUCUCAUCGAUAUUAUGUCAGAUUUCUCCCCAUUAAUCCGAGGUUAUUUUCGUUUUCGAUCCUCCUUGCCUUGCACGGCGUGUUUUCAAGACAGACGACAGACGAGUCGGUGAAAGAAACUCGUGCCCGGUUUCUUUUCGGGCACGUGGAGGGCAGGCCGCCUCCUUCGGGCCGCGAACAGGGUCGAACAGUGUGAACACACAAUGUGUGGAAUACAUUGAAUAAAAAACGAGCAGGUGGUUGGGACGAGCAGCGGUCUCCUCCAGCCAACAACACCUGCCACCAACGAAAUGCUUUUUUACGCUGAUAUCAAACUCCAAGAUGUACAAAGCACAUCUUGCCUUCCACUUUAUCACCGUAAAUAUACAACAAGAGCGUAAAAUUGUGAAAUGAAUCUCAAAUGAAUUUAGGGAGGAUCCUGGGAUAAUUCUCAGAAACAGAGAGACAUUUUCUUUUUCUAUUCUUCCAAGUUUAUAUAAAGUGGAAUCAAUUAUCUUCGAUCUUAUGAUUGCAAUCAAUGUAUAUCGAAUUAAUUAAGUAUUUAAAUAAUCGAAGAUACGAUCUUAUUAUAUUAUAUAAUUGGAAAAUAUUGCACUCUGUAGAAUUUUCACGGGGGGAGAGAAGUUUAUCAAUCAAACCUUACAUCACACAGGUUCGCCACGCGUUCGUGGCGCGUGUGACCUACAUAGGAGGCGGCAUAAAAAUUGUGUUUCCCGACAGUCAUAUGCCGAACACACGGGAUCCAGGGUGUCCGUCUGGCGUGACGACGACCCAGAAAAUCGAAACGUUUGUUGAAACACCUGGCCGGCCACCUUCCUCCAAGUUUCACCACGUGACCCGGGCCCAGUCCUUGACAGAGGCAGACAGGCCGGGCUUAUGAACAACGAACUGGUCUUAAUCCGGCCAAUUGGGUAUAACGAUGCACGUUUUUCGUCUCGAAAUUACUUAUUUAUGGGCAACGGUCAAUUAAAUGUUUAAUUAUACGGAAGAGGCAUAAAUUACGAUAAAUUAUAUGAUGGUGAACGGUGUAAAAAAAGAGAUCCAUGAAAAAGAUGAAAAGUUAUUCCGUAAUCUAAACUACGAUCCAAUUAUCCCGUAAUUGUCGUGCACGAAGGACAGGCUUUUAUUAUUAUUUAAAAUUACGAAAAUUAAAUUGGAAUCCUUUUUCGUACGAGAAACUUAAUCUUAAUCUUGAUCCAAAUUGAUCCGAAUUUUUCGAUCGAUGAAAUAAUCCAAGGGGAAUUGUUUCAGAAGAAAAGAUUUCUUGCAACGAAAAUAUGUAUACUCUCCAAUGUUUCGGGUAUCUCGAAAUAUCGAGCAACGACCUCGAACGAGGAGGAUCGGUCGGGCAGAUGGCCGACCCGAUCCGUGGUGUCCCGAAAAACGAAGAUUUUUUCCAAUCGCUACCUUGGCCGGUGGUGUUGGGUUCGAGACUCUCGCUUUCGACUCUCAAACAGUCGCAAAAAUGUCGACUCAGGAUUCAAGAUGGACGAAAAGUUUAAAUUCGAUCAAGAUUGAACUUUGAUAAUCCUCUGUUACCAUUGUAUCAUUAUUGUUUUUUAAAAAAAUAUUCUUGGCUUUCGAAAAAAAA